GCAGCAAGUCAAGAUUAAAUACAAGAAUAUUUUGCAGGCUGCCAUAAAAAAGAAAAGUCAUAUUACUGGUACGGGGGGUGGCCCUCCAACCCAAGACUUCACCCCAGCAGAGGAGCUGGCCCUGGACUUAAAUAAAGGGAAGCCAGUGAUUGAAGGGAUCCAGGAGGGGCCAGCCACUGACUCUGGCCCAGCAAGGGAUACUGGCCUCUUCAUACAAUGUACAUUAUUGCCAUACUACUGCGCAUGGAAAAUAUUAAAAUCCAUUUAUAUUUUG